UCUCUGGAUACAAGAAGUCCUCACUCUGCCAUCCCUUCUUGAGUGGUGUUAAUGGACUUCCUAUGUGAUCCCGAGGCGGAGUCAGCUGGUGUAAGAGUUGGCAACCAGCUCUGCUCCAUAGAAGGCAUUCACUUAGGAAGCACGACUGGCGGCUUCAUGCGAUUGACCAACAGUUUGUCAUGUACAAUAGCUGGAUGGGGUUCAAGAUUCAGUCAUCGAACAUGAACAGAAAGAUAUGGAAAGAGUUUCGCAUGAAAAUGCAGUAUCGCAAGAACUUGAAGAGGAUUCCAGCAAACUAGAGUCAUCUGAGCCUGCUCAUAGUUCAGCAGCCAGCUUUACAUGCACUGAGUUUCUCCUACAGCAUCCUGCACAGUUCCCUACCACCAGUUCCAGCCCAA